GUCUUGUGGGGUUUAGGGGCUGGAAAUGGGGAAGAGCUAGAGCACAGCAUUUAGGAUUGAGUUUUAUACUAUUCGGUACUCCAAUUAUGAAAACAACGAUGAUGAUGCUUCUGACCUGCCCUGUUGGGCUGUUUCUUCCCCAUCCUUUUGGAGAAAUUUGGAUACAGAGACAGAUGCACACAGAGGGAAGAUGAUGGGAAGGGACACGGGGAGAAGAUGGUCAUCCCCAUGCCAAGGAAGGAGGCCUGGAACAAAUUCCCCUUCACAGCACUCAGAAGAAACCAGCCCUGCUGACACUUCGAGUUCAGACUUUUAGCUUCCAGAACUGUGAGACUAUACGGUUUUGUUGUUUAAGACCCCCGGUUUGUAGUACUUUGUUACAGCAGUCCUAGCCAAUGAAUACAGGUAUAUUAUG
rnacentral:lncRNA from 10 species